AUUCACAUAAAUCAUAUUUAACAUGGAUUUGCAUUCAAAAAUACUUUACGACAAGUAUAGAAACAUAGGGGGCUAUUUUGUCCCGUGUUCAUGAAGCCAAAUCCACCGAAGAUACCGAAACCCUUCGUAAGCUUCGACGAAGGUGUCGACUAGUCUCCUAGCACCCUAAAGAUGUAGGAACAAGGGUCAAACAAAACUUAUGAUCAAACCUACGCUCAAUCAAUAAGCAACAUAGGCUAAGGUGGAGAAAAACUCACAUAGGUGAAGAAAUCCUCUCUCAAACUCUAAAUGGGAGUUAGAGUUCUUCAAAUCCAACCUAAAUAAAGGUUUCAAACUCAUCAAUUAGGUUUCAAGGCCCUCAAAACUAAAAAGCCCCAAAUCUAACCCUAGAAUCCCAAUCUAGGAUUUCAUCAAGCAAAAAGCUCCAAAACUAGGAUCUAGGGGAGAAGAACUAGUCACAUACUUCUAGGAAGCUCCAAACCAAGUCCAAGAUCCUCAAGGGUUAAGGGUUGGUCCACUACCAAGCUUCAAAAGCAAGCUCCAAGUCCCUCAAAGGUGAGAAAUGAGAGGGAAGGGUUGAUGCUCCAAGGCCUUCAAGCAAGCUCCUCUCCUUCUCCUCUAACUCCUUCUUCUCCUUCUCUUUUUCUUUCUAAAGUGGGUGUGAGGGAGAGGAAAUGAGGGUGGGAGAGAGAGGAGAGGCUCUAUAAGCCUUCAAAAGUAACAAAAUCCACUUAGGUCCCUCAAAAAUCCACUCUGUGCAUUGCCCGGUCUGGGCUGAUUUCGCGCUUAGGGACCGGUCUCUUCGACUUGGGACCGGUCUCUCAGCCUGCCCCGAAAAUCCAACGUUAGGGAAUCGGUCUCUCCCCGCACGGGACCGGUCUCUCCCCGUGCAGACGCGCUCGGGGACCGGUCUCGCCUACCAGGGACCAGUUGCCUUGCCAGCUGCCGCAACACUGAGCUGAGGGGACCGGUCUUUCAUAUCAGGGACCAGUCCCCGAGAGUGAAAACUCUCAGGACAAAGCCAAAACUCUAGAGAUCGAACUUUUAGGCCGGAAUACCAUCUACGGCCUUCCACCAAGUGUGGAAAAGUUCAGAGUACUCAUCAAACACUCAAACCUCGCAAUUUGCAAAGGUCCAGUGUGCUACAGUUAGGGUGGUCGCGGCAAUGUAGAUCACCCAUUCCAUCAUCAACAACUUCGAAUGGGGUAUUGAGAGGUCCGAAGAAAUAGGGAAUCAAAGAUUCCCCUCACUCUCCCAUCGAAGCCAUCUAGAUGGUAUGGAUAGUUACGAUCGCAGGACCAAAAAAGAAAAAAAAGAGCGGGAAGAAAAGAGAUUUUUUUUCUUCUUCUUCAUUUUUCGUCCUUUUUUUUCUUUACCUGUUGAUCAAAUGACGGAUUGGAUGAAUCAGCUCGACGAUUCCUCCACCUUUCCGCGGCUCGGCGAUCCUCCUCCUUUCCGCGGCUCGGCGAUAUCUCCUUUUUUUGAAUUUUUUGUAUGUCGGAACGAGUGUAGCAAUCUAUCUAUUUUUUUUGUUCUUUGUCUAUCGUAUCAUCUUCGUAAAAAAAAAUUCUCCCAUGUUUGAUUUCAGUUCUCGUAUCUAUAAUGGGAGGGGUGGUCAGAGAUAUUUUGAGGGAUUCGAAAUUCGAAUUUGAAUUUUGAAUAGGUUGUUAGAUAGUUGGAGGUUUUUUGGGAAUUGGUUGGAGAUUCGAAAUUCGUAAUCGAAUUUUGAAUCGGUUGUUGGAUGGUUGGAAUUGGUUGGGAAUUCGAAAUUCGAAAUCGAAUUUUAAAUCGGUUGUUGGAUGGUUGGAGGAUUUUUGGGAAUUGCUUAGGGAUUCGAAAUUCGAAAUCGAAUUUUGAAUCGGUUGUUGGAGGAUAUUUUGAAAAUUGGUUAGAAAUUCGAAAUUCGAAAUUGAAUUUUGAAUAGGUUGCUGGAUGGUUAGGUAUUCAAAAUUCGAAUGAGAGAUAUUUUGGGUGUUGGUUCGAAAUUCGAAAUCGAAUUUCGAAUCGAAUUUAAAUAUGGUAUUCGAGAUUGAAUUUUUAAAUGUGGGUAAAAAUGUGGGCCGUUAUUUCAUGAAUUGGGCUGAAAUUGGGCCCACUUUGAUGAAACUUGUUGGGUAGGAAUAUUCAUUGGGCUGAGAUGAGGCCCGAAUUUUUGUAUAGGCCUAAAAUCUUACAGAGCUUUUAUGAGGCCCAUUAAUUCACAUUUAUGAAUGGGCCUAUUGUGGAUUAAAAUCAUAAUUAUUGGCCCCAAGAUUUCUCGGUCAACAUGAGACCUAUUGGGAUUGUAUGAAUCCGAAUUUAAUCAGUUUUAAUUACUUUACCCCAAUUUUUUUUCACUCCAAACAGUACCUGAUGCUCGGCUUUUACCUGCUGACAAGUCAAACACUGAGCCACAAAUCUGCCAAUGUCUCUUUUCAUUCCAUUCCACCAGAACUGUGCCUUUAAGUCCUUAUACAUCUUGGUUCCACCAGGGUAAACCGUAUAAGGAGAACAAUGAGCCUCUCUCAAAAUGUCCUCUCGGAUCUCUGAAUCCACUGGCACACACAGUCUGUCCCUGUACCGCAGUACUCCCGAACUGUCCACAACAAAACCCUCGGCCUGUCCCCUCUCCAACUGCUCUCGAAUUCUCGACAAGUGCGGAUCUCCACUCUGUUUCUCUCGGAUCCUAUCCAACAGAGUGGGCUGCAAGACCAUAGACAUCAGUCUUGUAGUAGAUCCAGGGAACACUAUCUCGAGCCUCAACCGCUGCAGCUUCUCGAGUAACGGCCUCUGCUGAGUAAUCAACAUGCUCAAGCCUUGCACAGCCUUCCUGCUGAACCUAUCUGCCACUACAUUUGCCUUACCGGGAUGAUACUGAAUAUUAAUGUCAUAGUCCUUCAGUAACUCCAACCACAGACGCUGCCUCAGAUUCAAUUCCCUUUGAGUAAAUUGAUACUUGAGACUUUUAUGAUCGGUGAAAAUCUCGCAGUGCUCGCUGUACAAGUAAUGUCGCCACAACUUCAAGGCAAAAACUACCGCGGCAAGCUCCACGUCAUGCGUAGGGUAAUUCAUCUCAUAAUCCUUUAACUGCCGUGAAGCAUAAGCAAUUAUCUUACCAUGCUGCAUCAGCACACUACCCAAUCCACUGUGCGAUGCAUCACUAUAGAUCACAAAUCCUUCCCCCAUCACUGGAAGGGCAAGGAUAGGAGCUGACAUCAACCUCAGUCUCAACUCGUCGAAGCUCCUCUGACAGUCCUCACUCCAAAGGAACCGAAUCCCCUUUCGAGUCAAUCGAGUGAAGCGUGUGGAAAGCUUCGUAAGCCUUCCACAAACUGACGGUAAUAUCCUGCCAGUCCCAGAAAACUCCUCACACUACUAGAAAAUUAGUCAUUAGUGGCAUUUAUUUAUGCUGCUGAAUGAUCAACAAAUGCUGCUAAAAGUUUUAGCAGCAUAUGACACCAAAUGCUGCCUAUGCCAAUGUUGCUAAAAGUAUUAGCAGCAUUAAUUAUAAAUGCCGCCAAUAUAAAUCAAUUAGUGUCAUUAGGGAUAUGCCGCUAAAAGGGAUUAAAUGCUAAUUUAAAUUGUUUAUUAGCGGCACAUAAAUAUAAUGCCGCUAAUACAAAUAUAUGAUUUUAGAAAUUAAAAUUUUAAAAUUUUAAUUUUAUUUAUAUUUAAUUUUUUUGAGAUGCUACCUGCUUCAUUUAUUUUUUUCGUCUUAAACUUUGCUGGAAAUGUGAAUCAACUAGGAUUCGAACUUAGGGCUGGCAAAUGAGCGAGCCGGCUCGCGUUCAACUCGCGUUUGACCCGAUAUUUGGCUCGCUCGAGCUCGACUCGAAAUUAAAUGAGCCGAGCUUGAACAAAAAAAAAGGCUCGAAAUUCAUUUCAAGCCGAGCUUGAGUAUUACUCGGCUCGUUCGAAUUAGGCUCGACAAGCUCGAAAAGCUCGAAUAUAUAUAUAUAUAUAUAUAUACUAGUAGAGCUACUAUGCUAUCGAAAGUAUAGAGAUCUGUGCUUUCGAUUUUUUGAUUCUUAGAUCAAUCCUUUAAUCGUUUUUUAUCUUUGGAUUAAUAUUAUUAUUACCUUGUAGAGACCACUAAUCUAAGGUAUUGUUUAAUCCUAGGGGAGACGCAAUCAUCCAACCAUUAAUUUUAAUCAAAUCGUCAAAAAUUCAAAAACAUCAAAUUCUCUAUAUAUUUCGAUAGCAUAGUAGUUCUACACUAUAUAUAUUAUUAAAAAAUAUAUAAAAUAAUGUAUUUUAAUUAUAUAUAGGCUGAUGUGAAAAUCUGAGUUUAGUUAAAAUGGGCAAUGUUGUUGCCAUAAAACAAACCAAUAGACAAAUAAAAGAGAAAAUUUUACUAAAUUUAUAUAUUUUUUCUUUCUUUCUUUCUUUCUUCACAGAGCUCUAAUUUUCAAUAUGUUUAUUCUUUCUUCUUUUUCUGUCUCUCACCCUAAGUGGCCAAGCCAGAAGUCCUCUAAUUACCAAGUAAACAUCAUAUGCCCGCCGUUGCCUACCCUACUAUUAAUUGUAUGCUGAAAAAUAUACAUAAUAUUUUUAAAGUAAAAAAUUAUUAUUCAUAUAAAAUUUUAAUUUUAGUUAUGUAUGAUUGGAUAGUUUAAUCCAAUAUUUAUCUAUAUAAUUUAUUUAUGUUUGACUGCAUAAAUAAAAAAUGAAUAAUAUAGAGAUUAAAGGCGGAAAAAAAAGACAUGUGAGAUUGAAAAAAUUAGAUAUUCAACUCAUAAAUUAUCUUUUUCAUAUUAUAAUACUAUAUUUCAUAUAAUUAUUUUGUACUUUGAAUUAUUAGACAUAUUUUUUGUAUCAAUUAUAGAUAAUGUUCUAUACAAAUAAACUAUUGAUCGUAUAAUGUUGAAGAUUUCAAGCGGCUCGUUGAGGGCUCGAGCUCGCUCGACUUGAAAAUUAGGCUCGCUCGAGCUCGCUCGAUUAAUUUCAAUCCAACUUAGAAGCUUAAAUUUAGGCUCGAAAUUAAUUUCAAGCCGAAUUUGAGCCGAGGUAAGCUCGCUCGAGCUCGGCUUAUUUCCACCCGAGGACGGUCUUAGCGGGAGGCAGCUGAGGGCCUACGAUGAUGGACUUAAUGUGGGCAAGUUAAUGUGGCGAAACCCCCGGGUUAGCCGUGAGAUUAAAUAACAAAGAACAAGAACAAAGAUUAAAGAAUAAAGAGUAAAGAACAAAGAACUUGCAUACUUGCAUGAUUUACAUUGAGCAUAUUUCUUGCUUUAUUGUUCGAGCAUAUUAGCAUCAUGAUUAUAGUUGGUUACUAUUCUGCUUAUCCUUUCUAUUAUGCUUGAGUUAGUCCUAGUGGGAAAGUCGGUGAGAUUGGGGCCGAACCCACUGGGAACUUCUUUGUAGUUCUCACCCCACUAUUCCACAGAGUCGGGACCGAGCGAGCCGGCAAGCGACCGCGGUAAAGGUAUCGCACCCUAGACAGUGGCCACCCGAGUCGGGCUUUAUAUUUUGUUUGUAGUAUACCCCUUUAUCAUCUUUUGUAUUUGAUAAUUUAAGAUGUUGAUGUAUAAAGCAAAGAAAGAAAAGAUUGUAAAGUUUAUUUUGAGACAUUGUGAUGUAAAAAGAAAUGAUGCAAGUGAUGUAAUGAAAUGUAAAGAAUCAUGAAUAUGAAGGUUAAAUGCAAUGUAUGUGAUCAAAAGAGAAUUAUUGUACUUGUGUAGAUGUUUAGUUUCCUUUCUUUCACUCAUGGCUAUUGCUUACCCUCGUGUAAGCCGUUUGUGUAUGUUUCUGCUAGUGCACUUCUUGUUUGAAAAUAUACAGGUGAUGAGCCUUGGGCGGAUAGGAGAAACUCUGUCCGUUCGGCGUCUGUUUGACGUGCUCGGGCCGGCCCAAAUUGGUAUCGAUCCCGGGGCAUGACAGAUAUCGUGGUAUCAGAGACCAAGAGUGAAAGAAUAGGAAUGAACUUAGAGACCCUUAGGAUUGGAAGACCUCAAGGAUCUAGGAAACGUGAGUGACGCGGAAUCGAAGUUAGCGAAAGCAUGUGAUUGGGUUAAGUUGGGAUGUCUCUAAUGUGAUUAGAGGCUAAGUUUAAUUUUCAUUUGUUUCCUACUCCUUGUUUUGUGUCGGGCGGCCGACGACAUGAUGCUUGGGGCGAGAAUGAAUGCAUAAGUUGCUUUCACCGAGUAAUAUUGGUCAAGUAGCUAAUGCGAGUUGCUUCUUUUCAGGAAGCAAUGGCACCUCAUGGUCGACCGCAAACAAGGUCGAUGCCUGAGGAGUCGAAUGUGGCGCCCGAGCGAUCUGGAGCGAGUGGCGACGGAGAGCUUAGGGAGCAGAUGGCCGCGCUUAUCGGCGUAGUGCGGUAGCAAGCGGAGUCUGUUCAACGUCAAGGGGAGCAGAUUCAGCUGCUCUAAGAGGCUUUGGAGUGUCAGCAAGCGGCGGCUCGGGCAGGUGUCGAGCAUGUCGCGCCCUCUGUGGUAGUGCCGAGCGUGGACGAGGGAGCGGCGGCAGCAGCGGCUGUUCCAGUUACGGUAGUACUGGCCAGAUCGGGAACCUCAAAUCCCGAUAGUGCGGCGAUAGAGGCGGAGCGGGAGAGCACGUUGGCGGCUCUCAUAAAGUUUAAGAAGUUCGACCCACCUACCUUCGAUGGCGGUUUGGUGGAGCCAGCGGUUGUGGAGUCGUGGAUCGACUCGAUGGAGACGCUCUUCGAGGAUCUCAAUACCUCGGAGAAGGACAAAGUGUACCUUGCCACCCAUUGUCUUGAGAAGAUGGCGAUGGUGUGGUGGAAACGAGUUAAGCGGGAUCGACCUACCGAUCUUCCGCUUAUGUUAUGGGAGGAGUUCAAGAGAGCAGUCUUCGCGAACUACUUCCCCGACACGGUGAAGCGGAGGUUGCAAGAAAAGUUUCACAAGUUGAGACAGGGUGACCGAUCGGUGGGAGAAUAUGAGCAAGAGUUCUCUUACAUUAUCGACUGCGUUCCCAAUGUUGUUCGAGAUGAUCGGGAUCGGGUUGAUUGGUUCAUACGAGGACUCCAGCCGAGGAUAUAUGAAAAGAUGCAGAUUCUGAAGCUAACGACCUUUGCGGAGGUCUUUGAUAGAGCAUUGUGGGCGGAGCACGGUAGCGCUCACGUUCGAGAGGAACGGGAGGCUAUGGCCGAAGGCAAGGAUAAGGGCAAGAAGCGAGCGGUGGGUGGUGCCAGAGGCCGGCCAAACUCAAAGAAACCCCCUCGGUAUCCCCGGCAGUAGUCGAGGAAUUGGAGACCACCUCGGUGCGUUAUUUGCGGCGGAGCGCACCGAGUGUCGACUUGCCCGCAGCGUGAUGGCAAGUGUUUCAAGUGUGGCCAACCGGGACAUCUUAUCCAGGAGUGCCCGAGCUGGACGUCGUCUGCGCCGACGGCGGCAUCAGCACCAUCUACCCCGAGACAGCUUGCGGGGUUGCCACCAGCGAUGUUGGCUGGGUGCGUGUCGUCACCGCGUCAGCCGGAGGGAUCGAGAGCGCCUAGCGGCCGAGUCUUUGCCGCUCAGGUGGAGGAGCAGCAACCUGCAGCACCCGACGACGUCGUGGCAAGUAUAAUUGUGAUUAAAGGCAGUAGAGCUAGAGCAAUAUUUGAUACAGGCGCAUCUAAUUCAUUCAUUAGCAUAUCAUUUGCUAAAACUCAUGGCAUAGAGAUGGUAUACAACGAGGAUUAUUGGUGGGUGAACGCCCCAGAACAUUCAUUCAGUGUCCACAAUGAGUGUUUGGCGUGUCCAGUGCAAAUAGGCGAUUGGAUUAUGCCGAUUGAUCUGCUAGUGCUAGAUCAGAUGUGGGGAUUCGAUGUUAUCUUAGGGACCAACUGGCUCUCUAAAUACUAUGCGGUUAUAGAUUGUGAAAGCAAGGUGAUCACUUUUCGUGAGCCUAAUCAAGAAGAAUUGGUGUACCAAGCAUGUAAAAGUAGGCGCUUCGCGGCGACCAUAUCGUCUGUAAGGGCGAAGAAAAUGAUCAAAGGAGGGUGUAAGGCCUAUUUAGCAACCAUGGUGGAUGCUCGAAAGGAGUACCCAGAGUUGGGGGAUAUUCGAGUAGUGUGCGAAUACCCGGAUGUGUUUCCGGCGGAGUUUUCGGGACUGCCACCGGACCGGAAAGUUGAGUUCGUCAUUGACUUGAUUCCCGGGGCGACGCCAGUUUCGAAAGCUCCGUAUAGAAUGGCACCGGUGGAGCUAAAGGAGUUGAAAGGCCAACUACAAGACUUGCUCGAUAAGGGCUUCGUGAGGCCGAGCGUGUCACCGUGGGGAGCUCCGGUGCUAUUUGUGAAGAAAAAGGAUGGCACACUUCGACUCUGCGUUGAUUAUCGUGAGUUGAACAAAGUAAUGAUAAAGAACAAGUACCCGUUGCCGAGGAUUGAUGAUUUAUUCGAUUAGUUGCAAGGGUCCAAGGUGUAUUCAAAGAUUGAUCUCCAAUCGGGGUAUCAUCAACUAAAGAUUAGGCCGAAGGAUGUGCACAAAACGGCGUACCGUACGCGUUAUGGCCAUUAUGAAUUCACGAUAAUGCCGUUUGGGCUUACUAACGCCCCGGCAGCAUUUAUGGACUUAAUGAACCGAGUCUUCAUGCCGCUGUUGGACCAGUGCGUCGUGGUGUUUAUAGACGACGUAUUGGUUUACUCGAGAAGUGAAGAGGAGCACGAAGAGCAUCUGAGAGCUGUGUUGCAAAUACUCAGACAGGAGAAGCUCUAUGCAAAGUUGAAGAAGUGUGACUUUUGGCUAAAGGAGGUCAUAUUCUUGGGUCAUGUGGUAUCGGGCAACGGAGUGUCAGUAGACAGGAAGAAAGUAGAGGCAAUAAAGGAUUGGCCUCGCCCGACGAAUGUAGCGGAGGUCCGCAAUUUUCUCGGACUCGCGGGCUAUUACCGGCGGUUUGUGGAGGGGGGUUCGCCAAAAUAACCACUCCACCAACGCGCCUUACCCAUAAAAGAGUAAAGUAUGUUUGGAGUGACGAUUGCGAUCGAAGCUUCGAAGAGUUGAAGAACAGGUUGACGUCGACCCCGGUGCUUGCCUUGCCGACUCCGGGGGAGACCUUUGUAGUGUAUAGUGAUGCCUCUUAUGUUGGUCUCGAGUGUGUGUUAAUGCAAAAUAGACGAGUUAUUGCAUAUGCAUCGUGCCAAUUAAAGAGUUAUGAGAAGAACUACCCGAUUCACGACUUCGAGUUAGCCGCGGUGAUUUUCGCGCUAAAGCUUUGGAGGCAUUACUUAUAUGGUGAGCAUUGCGAGGUCUACACAGAUCAUAAAUGUCUAAAGUACUUGUUCACCCGAAGGAAUUGAACAUGCGGCAGCGGCGGUGGUUGGAGUUGUUGAAGGACUACGAUGUCACUCUACUAUACCACCCCGGGAAAGCCAAUGUCGUGGCCGAUGCUCUAAGUAGAAAAUCGGCGGAGAACUUAGCGAUGGCGAUUACGCCUCAACCGCUAUUGCAAAAGGAGAUGCAAAGGCUUGGGUUGGAAGUGGUAGCGCAGGGAGUGCCGGCUACACUUGCCGCAUUAGUUCUGCAACCGACCCUAUUUGAAAGGAUCAAGGAACUACAAGCCUCGGAUCCUUAUUUUCAAAAGAUACGAGGAGAAGUUGAAAAUAGCAAUGCCGAAGACUUUGGCAUUGGAGCUGAUGGCACACUUUGAUUUCGAAAUCGAUGGUAUGUGCCUAAAGAUGAUGAGUUACGAAGGGCGAUCAUGCAAGAACACACCAAUUCCCUUAUAGUAUACACCCCGACGGUACUAAAAUGUAUAGGGAUUUGAAAGAGCAUUAUUGGUGGCCGGGUAUGAAGAAGGAUAUUGGGGAGUUUGUGGCGCAAUGUUUAACGUGCCAACAGGUGAAAGCAGAGCGCCGAUUUCCGGCGGGAAAGCUACAAAGUCUAUCAAUACCCGUUUGGAAAUGGGAAGAUAUAGCGAUGGACUUUAUUACCGGUUUGCCUCGAUCACAAGGCGGACACGAUGCGAUAUGGGUCAUAGUGGAUCGAUUGGCAAAGUCGGCACACUUCUUGUCGAUACAUACUACGUGGUCGGGAGACAAGUUAGCUCAAGUUUAUCUCAACGAGGUUGUGAGACUUCAUGGGGUUCCGGUAUCAAUUGUAUCGGAUCGAGACCCUAGGUUCACAUCCCACUUUUGGAAGAGCUUGCAGGACGCGUUGGGCACACGGCUCAACUUUAGCACAGCAUUUCAUCCUCAGAGUGAUGGACAGUCGGAGCGGAUAAUACAGAUCCUCGAGGACUUGCUUCGAGCGUGUGUGCUAUAUUACAAAGGAGGAUGGCAUGAUUUCUUGCCGAUGGCGGAGUUCGCGUAUAAUAACAGUUAUCAAGAGAGUAUAGCGAUGGCGCUAUUUGAGGCACUAUAUGGUCGAAAGUGUCGUUCUCCUAUCCAUUGGAGCGACGUGGGUGAGAGAACGGCUCUUGGCCCGGAUGUAGUGUGGGAGGCGGAGGAGAAAGUUCACCUUGCCCGUCAACGGUUGGCGAUGGCGCAAUCUCGGCAAAAGAGUUAUGCCGACAAGCGGAGGAAAGACUUAGAGUUCGCGGUUGGAGACCGCGUAUUUUUUAGAGUAUCGCCGAUGCGAGGAGUAAAACGUUUUGGGGUUCGUGGGAAGCUAAGUCCCCGUUAUGUCGGACCAUUUGAGAUAUUGGAGCGUGUGGGUGCGGUAGCGUACAAGCUCGCACUACCACCGAGACUCGCGGGAGUUCACAACGUGUUUCAUGUGUCAAAUCUCCGAAAGUAUAUUCGCAACUCGACACAUGUGUUAGAGUACGAGCCCAUGGAGCUACGUGAAGAUAUGUCUUAUGAGGAGUACCCGGUGUGCAUCCUCGGUCUAGAAGAAAGGAAGCUGCGGAGUCGCAGAAUUCCAUAUGUGAAGGUCCAAUGGAGCAACUAUGCGGUGCGAGAAGCCACUUGGGAGCUUGAGGAAACUAUGCGGAGAGAGUAUUCGCAUCUAUUUGAGUCGACAAGUUAAGGUAUGCGUAAUUUCGCGGACGAAAUUAUUCUAAGGGGUGGAGAAUGUAAUAUACCGAAAAUUCGGAAGAUAAAUAUCGAACUUUAGUCAAAUUGACCAAAGUGCGAGGAUGGUACACUUCGGAAAGUCCGAAGGUGUUAAAAUGAUCAAAAGUGUGUUAUGGGAGGUUUUCGAGAGCUAAAGAAUAAAAAAUCUGCAAACUGCAGUUUUUGAGCUCUCUGGGACCGGUCCCUGGUGGGAGAGAUCGGUCCUCGAACGCGUGAGAAAUGAGAAAGGCUGAAAAUCGGCUAAGUUUCAGAAAACCAGCUCUUAGGAACCGGUCCCUGCAGGGAGAGACCGGUCCCCGAGAGACCGGCCCCCAGUGAGAGACCGGUUGCAUCGCGUGUGCGCCCUGCUGCCCGCGGGGAGAGUCCUCUGGGACCGGUCCCAAGUCGGGGAGACCGGUCCCCGAACACGAAAUCUGCCCAGUUCAGGCAGUGUAAUAAGAUAAAAGCUGAGGGGUUUAUUUGCAUUUAUGCAAUAUGUGGGUUAUGUUAUGAGGGGUUAUGGGAUAUUUCUCUCAUUUUCUCCCUCACACUUCCUCUCUUCUCUCUUUCUCUCUCUAGAAGACAAGAAGAAGAAGAAGAAGACAGAAAAGAAAGGAAAAGAAGAAGAAGAAAGUGGAGAAGAAGGAGUGAAAAAACUCCCUCUUCCUCAUCUCUAACUUGGAGGGAAAGCUUUGAGGUAAGUUUUGAUCCCUUUUAUGGUAAAACCUAAAAAUGAGAACCCAAUGACCUAAAAAUGGUUUUAAUUGAGCCUAAUAAGUGUUUUAAGCUUUCUUUUGCUUGUGGAUGAGAUCAAAACCGAGAAUUGAGUGUUGGAGGUGAAGCUUAGAGGAAAGCUUCAACCUCUCUCAUGGUAGAACCCAAACUAGGGUUUGGAUUAAGCUAAGAAUGGUUUUUAUGGAGUCUCUAGAGUAGAUUGAAGCUUCGUUUGCUUCCUAAUGAGAUCAAACCCUAGGUUUGAUAUAUGUUAUGAGCUAGGGCACCCAAAUUGGGGCUUUUGCUUGUGAGGGUUCUAAAAUGAAAUUGACCCUCUAGAAACCUAAUUGGGGGUAUUUCCGACGCUUUGGUGCGCUCAGAUUAACGUUACGAAAAGCCAAUGUAAAGAUAUGAGCAAAAUGGCUUAAUAGGGCUUCGUUUUGCCGCAAGUGACGAACUAGGAGUCUAAAAAUCCCAAGAAAAUUAUUGUAGCAUCCUAGUACGCCUACGAGGUGGGUGGUGCUAUCCAAACUUGUUGGAAUUCCUUCUAUGCUUAAUGUGUCAUUCAUUUGAGCAUAUGUUUAUAUUGUUGCAUGCAUUAUAGGGUAGAUGUGAUGUUAUAUAUGUGAAUGUUGUAUGAUGUGAGUACACGUGCUAUUUGAAAUGUUUGAGAACCUAUUCAACCCUAUAUGUAUGCAUGAGAUAUAAUGCGAGCACCCAAUGAGAUGAUAGAACAAGCGACACAAUAAAGCAUAGAUCGAGUGGCAUUCGAUAAUGUAAAGUAAAGUAACAUUAGAGUUAGUGUGUGUGGCAUUAAAGAGAAAUGUGAUGCAAAGAACAAUGAUAAUGAUUAGAGACAAAAGAAAGAAAAUGAAAGUGGCAUAAAGAACGAGUAAAGUUAAAGAAUAAUGAUUGUUAGAGUUAGCAAAAUAAAGUGAUGUAAAGAACACUAGAGUUAGUGUAAAAACAAUGAUUGAACUAUAUAUCCUUAGAGUUAAGGAUCGAUCAUACUUGCUAUGAGUUUCGUGCUCGAGGGCGGUAGCUCCCUCUCGAGCGAUGCGCUCCGGAGUUUUGCAUCACGGGUUGGAGUAAACCCGAGGACGGUCUUAGCGGGAGGCAGCUGAGGGCCCGCGAUGAUGGACUUAAUGUGGGCAAGUUAAUGUGGCGAAACCCCCGGGUUAGCUGUGAGAUUAAAGAACAAAGAACAAGAACAAAGAUUAAAGAAUAAAGAGUAAAGAACAAAGAACUUGCAUACUUGCAAGAUUUACAUUGAGCAUAUUUUUUGCUUUAUUGUUCGGACAUAUUAGCAUUAUGAUUAUAGUUGGUUACUAUUCUGCUUAUCCUUUCUAUUAUGUCUGAGUUAGUCCUAGUAGGAAAGUCGGUGAGAUUGUGGCCGAACCCACUGAGAACUUCGUUAUAGUUCUCACCCCACUAUUCCACAGAGCCGGGACCAAGCGAGUCGGCGAGCGACCGCGGUAAAGGUAUCGCACCCUAGACAGUGGCCACCCGAGUCGAGCUUUAUAUUUUGUUUGUAGUAUACCCCUUUAUCAUCUUUUGUAUUUGAUGAUUUAAGAUGUUGAUGUAUAAAGCAAAGAAAGAAAAGAUUGUAAAGUUUAUUUUGAGACAUUGUGAUGUAAAAAGAAAUGAUGCAAGUGAUGUAAUGAAAUGUAAAGAAUCAUGAAUAUGAAGGUUAAAUGCAAUGUAUGUGAUCAAAAGAGAAUCAUAAUACUUGUGUAGAUGUUUAGUUUCCUUUCUUUCACUCAUGGCUAUUGCUUACCUUUGUGUAAGCCGUUUGUGUAUGUUUUCGCUAGUGCACUUCUUGUUUGAAAAUGUACAGGUGAUGAGCCUUGGGCGGAUAGGGAAAACUCUGUCUGUUCGGCGUCUGUUUGACGUGCUCGGGCCGGCUCAAAUUGGUAUCGGUCCCGGGGCGUGACAGAUAUAUUAAUAAUUAUAUAUUAAUUAGUAAUGAUAUUUAGUAACAAGUGCCGCUACUUUAUCAUUUUUAGCGGCAUUCACUAAUUUAUGCUGCUAAUUUAUCCUAUUUUGCAACAUUAAUAGUAAAUUGCUGCUAAAUAAUUAAAUCUAGCGGCAAUUAUCAAGUAAUGCUGCUAAAUAUAUUAAUUGACAUGAUUUAAAUAAAUGUUGCGGAACAAAUAUUGCGGCAUUUAGCAAUAAAUGCUGCUACUUUAUUACAUUUAGUGUCAUUUUUUAUAAAAUGCUGGAAACUUUAGCGGUAUUCACUAAUUUAUGCUGCUAAUUUAUUCUACUUUGCAACAUUAAUAGUAAAUUGCUGCUAAAUUAUUUAAUUUAGCGGCACUUAUCAAGUAAUGCUGUUAAAUAUAUUAAUUAGCGUUAUUUAAAUAAAUGUUGCGGAGUAAAUGCUGCUAAAUCAUGAAUUUGUAGUAGUGUCACCUCAGUCACCGUCGUCGGUCUGGGCCAAUCCCAAAUAGCAUCAAUCUUCUUUGGGUCCACUGCUACUCCAUCCGCAGAAAUCACGUGGCCCAAAAACGUAACCUCCCGUAGCCAGAACUCACACUUCUUCAACUUGGCAUACAACUACUUCUCUCGCAGAAGCUGUAGCACAGUCCUCAAGUGCUCCUCAUACUCGGCAUCGCUCCGGGAGUGUAUCAGAAUGUCAUCGAUGAAAACUACUACAAAUCUAUCCAAGAACGGCUUGAAACACCCUGUUCAUCAAAUCCAUAAAUGCGGCAGGGGCAUUCGUCAAUCCAAAAGGCAUUAUUGUAAACUCAUAACACCCGUACCGAGUCCGAAAAGCCGUCUUGGGAACAUCCUUGGCCCUCACCCUCAGCUGGUGGUAACCUGACUGGAGAUCAACCUUCGAAAAGACACAAGAUCCUUGCAGCUGAUCAAACAGAUCAUCAAUGUGCGGCAAAGGAUACUUGUUCUUGAUGGUCACUUUAUUCAGCUCCCGGUAACUGGUCGAACAAAUCCUCGAUUCGGGAAAGUGGGUACUUAUUCUUGAUCGUGACUUUGUUCAACUCUCGAUAAUCCACGCAGAGUCGAAACGAUCCGUCCUUCUUCCUUACAAACAACACCGGGGCUCCCCACGGUGAUACACUUGGUCGGAUGAAUUUCUUGUCAAGGAGGUCCUGUAACUGACUCCUCAACUAUUUCAGUUCUGCCGGCGCCAUUCGGUACGGAGCCUUCGAGAUCGGCGCAUUACCGGGAAUCAAGUCUAUGAUGAACUCGAUCUCCCGAUCCGGCGGUACCCCCGGUAACUCUUCGGGAAAUAUAUCGGGGAACUCCCGUACCACUAUCAACUGUUCCAAGGUCGGAGUCACUCGAUCCACUUCUACAACGGUCGCCAAGAAUGCUGCGCAACCACUGUUGACCAACUUCCUUGCUCUCGUUGCCGACACCGUCGUGGCGAAGCACGAGCUCCGACAAGCCCGAGCUCCGACAAGCCCGAUAAGUGAACUCCUUUUGUCCUGGCUCUCGAAAUGUGAUCACCCUAUUCUUACAACCAAUCGUUGCAUGAUACUUAAAGAGCCAGUCCAUGCCCAAUAUGACGUCGAACUCCUUAAGGUACUUGAGUUCCAACAUCCGAAUAGGCAUUAUCCAGUCACCUAUUUGUACUGAACACGAUAAACACUCCGCAUAGGUGUUAAAUGUCGACCCAGGGCCCUCCACUCGCCACUUGCCCUUACUCGCCUCUAUGACUAUGUCAUGCAUGCGUGCAAAUGAUCUACUAAUGAAUAAGUCUGUGGCACCUGUAUCAAACAUAGCCCUUGAGCGAAUUCCGUUAAUCAAAACCAUACCUGCCACAAGGCGAUGCUCCUCUGCCUCCGCAGGCUUCUCAGCUUGGACCUGAGCCGUGAAUACCCGGCCGCUCGGGGCCGAACGCGCCAUCUCGAGCUGUCGUGGGGCCAUCGCACGUCCUGCUGCCGCCGGGGGAGCUCCUCCAUAAUGAGCAGGAGCUGCUGGUGCGAAUGCGAUAGAUGGAGCAGGUGAAGCUCCUCUUCUCGGGCAGUCGCAUGCGAAAUGUCCCGGUUACCCACACUUGAAGCACCUACCUUGGCGCUGGUCGCAUCACGACAUCGGGUGAUCUUCGCCGCCUGUGACACACUGCCAAGCUCCACGGCCCUUUUGCUAAGUCCGCGGAUACUUCGGGGGCUUUUUGAAACUUGCUUGUCCCCCCGAACCUCUGCCCUGACGUCUCUUACCUUUGUCCUUGGACUCGGCCAACAACUCGCGCUUCUCUCGGACAUGGGCGUCACCGUGCUCCGCCCAAAGCGCACGGUCGAAGACCUCCGCGAAGGUCGUGAGCUUGAGUAUCUGCACGGGCUUGUAAAUCCCCGGCCGAAGCCCUCGCAAGAACCAAUUGGGCCGAUCUCGGUCAUCUCCCACUACAUUCGGGACACAGUCUAUGAUAUGGGAGAAUUCCUGCUCAUACUCCGCCACUAAGCGGUCCCCCUGCUCUAACUUACGGAACUUCUCCUGGAGCUUCCGCUUCAACGUGUCAGGGAAAUAGUUGGCGAACACCGCCCUCUUGAACUCCUCCCACAACAUCGGCGGAAGGCCGAGAAGCCGAUCCCACUUGACCCGCUUCCACCACACCUUCGCCGCUUUCUCCAAGCAGUGGAUGGCAAGAUACACCUUGUCCUUCUCCAAGGUACGCAAGUCCUCGAAGAGCGUUUCCAUCGAGUCAACCCACGACUCGACCAUCGCCGGUUCUACCUUCUCCCCUUCAAAGAUUGGCAGGUUGAACUUGUUAAACUUCAUAAAAGCCGCCAACGCACAGUCCCCCUCCGUGUCUUCGGCCGUCGCAUCGGGGGUCGCCCAACCUAACGCCGCUGGAGGUACAUUUGCCGGCGGGGGACGUGCCACCACCGGAACCGCCGCUAUACCCUCACCCUCUGCCGCUUCGGGUACACGUGCCAAGGGCGGGGGUGGAUCACGGCCGUCCGUCGUCGUUGCAGCUGUCGCUGCCAGUUGCCGCUCCAUCAAUUCUCGGAGUAGCCCAAACUGACUAGCGAGUGCAGUCACUUGCUCCCGCAGCUGCUGUAUCUCACUAGGCCCAGCUCGCUCAGGGGCCUCAGAAGGCUCAGGCAUCCUGGGAGGUCCAGCUUGAUCUGGCACCUCAGAAGUCGGUGCCGGAACCAAUCUACGCGUAUAGCAUCUCUUCGGUGCCAUUAGCACCUAAAACGCAAAUACUUGGUUAAUCAUCUUAGCCAAUUACUUCGUCGCGACCAUGACUCAAACAAAACAACAACAAAAUCGGGCGGAAGCACACAAGUGUACUCGUCCUAGGCUCUCGGUAUCAUGUCGUCGGCCGCCGACACAACCACCUCAAUACAAGAACUAAUACCACUUGAAUCCUCUCUAGCAACUACUAGAGACAUAUCACUAACUUCGACCCAAUCGAAUCACUUCCGCCACCGUUAUAGGUUCACGUUCCACUCACGCACCUACAACCUUAGGGUUCACCAACCUAGGGUCUCCUAGGUCAUCCUAGACUUUCUCUUUACUUGCUCUUAAUUGCUCUGAUACCACAGCUGUCACGCCCCCGCCCCGGGACCGCUACCAUUUUGGUCCGGUUCGGGCGUGCCGGACGGACGCCGAACGGACAGCACCUCCCCUGUCCGCCCAAGGCUCACAACCUGAUCAUCUACAAGAAUUUGCCCAGGAUAAAUAAAUUCAUACAUACACGAUCAACAGGGCACAAACAGUGCCAACAACAAAGAGCAAGAAUCCAUAAGCAUAUACGAGUGAAAUAAAGAGAGAGAUAACUACUAGUUAUUACAUCGCAUUUGCAUUCUUUUUACAUUUACAUCAUUCUUUUCCUCAAAAUGAAUACAUCAUAGCUCUCCCAAAACAUAAAGUAUCUAGAUACAAAAUAGUACUCUAAUGCAUAACAGGAAGCUACUAUGCUACUGUUCGGGCGCUAUACCCUUGCCGCGGUCCUCGAUCGGCACUCCCGCACUUAGCCCUGUAAUGAAAUGGGGUGAGAACUAUCUUCCAUAGUUCCCAGUGGGUUCGGCCGCCGACUCCACCGAUCUCCCCACUAGGUCCAAGUAGGCAAAAGUAACAACUAGAUAGAUAGAUAGAUAGAUAGAUAGAUAUCCAAAGCAGUAAAUGACAUAAUAGGGAAACUAUGCUACUAUGCCCAUAAUCACAAGUAAUGAAUGCACGCAUCAUUUAGUAAGAGUUUACUAUCAUGCUACUAUGUCCAAAUCAUGUCCAAUAAGCGAUGUUCAUUGACAAUGCUAUUCUUUCAUUUACCCAAUCCUUGGCGAAUCCCUUAGGUUCGCCCACGACCCACGUCAUCAUCUCGUAGGGUAAGGAGACUCAACUCGCUCUCGAACCCGGGAUUGUCUGCGAACAUCAACUCUGUCCUAAAUCGCUCGACACUCCAGAGUACUCGACGACAACUUGGAUGGCUAUACCACCCCGAAUGGCUAUACCACCCCAAUGACAGACCGUGAGCUUGAUCAACCUCUCAACUUGAGGACACCCUACGAACUAGGGCCAGCAAUUCUCUCGGAACUCACCUAUUCCGACAAUAAUGCACAAUUGCUUAGCUAUACUAAGUUUUUUAUUCAACGAGUCAUUUAAUAGGGAAUCCACCUAUCCCUAAGUUCAUAUGCCACUAGUGUCACUUUACACUACAUAUAUGCCACUCGUUCUGUUCACGUCAGUCACGAUGCCACUCAUCAUGUCUCUAGAUAACCAUCGAGUCCAUCUCUUUUUCUCAGUACUAUAGGAUUCAAUGUCAAGACCCAAUCCUCAUCUCACCUAUAUAUAUCAAGUAUUCAACUCAUACAUAAUAUCAACUAGCAAGCAUAAGGAAUGGAAAACAAUGCAAUCCUACAAUGCAUAUAUGUAAGAGAUGCGAAAUCAUGGAGUUCUAAGACAUAGAAAGGAAUUCGGUUGCUUCGGGAUGACACCCCCCACCUUUUGAGGGUAUGAAGGUUCUAGAAAUGCUUCUCGGCGUUCUUUACGACGAUGCCUCGGCCUCCUUGGUCCAAAACGAUGCUUAAUCGGCCUUAUUUCGCCGAUAUCUUUUCACCCGCUCGACGAAUCGAAAAUCCGACUUCGCCCCCGCGUUUAGGCACCUAGCAAUUAGCUUUAGAUGUCCACAAAUGAGAUCAAUCCCAUCAAUUCCUAAAAAUCCCAAUUUGGAGCCCUAGGUUGCAUCUAUAGCAAUAUCCACCCUCAAAGCUCCAAAUUCUAGCCUAAAGCAUCUAUUAAGAAUGCUAGGGUUCCAUUUGACCCAUUUCUAAAGCUAGAAAUUCAAAACCCUAGGCUCUACCAUUGUUAGGGUUUAGUAGCUUACCUCUUAGCUAGCUCCAAUGGGAUGAAGAGGGAUAGAGGAAAGUGGUGGAGAUGAUUUCCUCCAAGCUCUCCUACUUUUUCUUCUUCUCCUUCUUCUUCUUCUUCCUUUCUUUCUAGAGAGAGAGAGAGAAUAUGAGAGAUGGGAGGGAAAUAAGAGAGGGAGAGAGUGUGCUAUCCCCUCUAUACCCCUCACUUAUGGCAUUAUUGCAUAAAAGCCCCUCCACUUUUCCUCUAUCCAACUGCUCUGCCUGAGCAGAUUUCGUGCACGGAGACCGGUCCCUCUACGGGAGGACCGGUCCCUCCUUUCGAAGAUCGGUCACGGAGAGCAAUGCUCUCGCAGGACACUUACGGGAACGGGUCUGCCCCCAAGGGUCCGGUCCCCAAGAGACCGGACUGCCAUCCAGAGACCGGUCCCCGAGAGCAAUAAUGGUGCGCAGAGGGUUUUCCCCGCGCACCAAGCUUACAGGAACCGGUCCCUCAUACCAGGGAUCGGUCCCCGAGAGCUGAAUCUGCCAAGUGCAGAUUUUUGCACUAUUAGCUCUCGUGGACUCCAACUCCAAUGCACUUUUGGUGCUUAAGACAUCUUCGGCUUUUCCGAAGCAUACGCACUCGACAACUAGUUGAUUCUUGACGAAGUCCAACUCUUGGAUUUCGAGAAUUCACUUCCUUACACCGGGGAUUCUUAGAUACCAUUGAACAUUAUGUAGAGUAUUUGAAAUACCCUGGAAUCAAAUUUCGCAAUUUUUAAAAUCUCUCUCAUAGUGAUAGAAAGGCCUCAAAAUCAACAAGUUUUGAUGACCUAUAAGAGCUUUUUGUUCGUUUAAUGGUGUAAAACAAUCUAAAUCAGUUGCAUUUUUGACAAAAAGUCCUCUUCACCUCAAGUGCAUGUCCUAAAACUCCAAUCUUGAACUAAGGAAUUCUAACCUCUAUCUUAACUAAGGUUUUUAUUUUGACCACCCAUUUUUUGGCUACUUGAUACCCUAGAUGACAAUUUUCAAAAAUCAACAAAUUUGAUUCCUAGACAUUUUAAAUGCUCUAUAUCAUGUUUGACUGUAUCAAACGUUGAUUUAAAUGACCUCUUGUCAAAAAAAUAAAACAAAAUAAAAAUUGAUAGGACAAACAACUUUGUUCUCCUAAAAGGAUAGUAUCCAAGCCCAUAUAUUACAUUAAUGUUUGUUUAUUACAUAAGAAAGAUAUUGCAAAUAGUCCAUCACAAGUAUAUCCCUAUUUUGUAAGUAUAAAUAGUAUUUGAUUUGAUUUUGUAGAAAAGAUUUUCCCAACCAAACUAAAAUUAGAAACUAAAAUUCAUGAAAUUUGAAAACCAAACCAAACCAAAUAAACUAGUACUAGUUGUCUAAUCUAGUAUCUUUCAAUUGGGUUUUCAGACAAAAGCACAAAUAAAUGAACACCCUCAUUGGAUAAAUAGAUGAAAUAGAUACUUGUGAAAGAGCCAACAUGACAGUAAAUAUACAAUUUGAUCAAUGGAUGAUCGCAACCAAUCAACCAGAUUCUAAGAUCUAAAUUAAGUUUUGACAUUAAACUUCAUUUCCUUUUUAACUUUAUGUACAAAGAUUCACAUAGUACAUAAAUUCUCUAAGACUACUAGACUAGGGACUGACAAGAAUAGUUCACAUUUUUUUCUUAUAUUAACGAGGUGAAGGAAUUUUACCAAUAUUUUAAGUUCUCUUUAGUUUAGUUCAUUUAACUUAAAUGAAUUGGUCGAUGUCAUUAGUUUGAUAGUUUUCUCUUCAAUUACAGUAUAAGCAGUGUUUAAAAAAGCCCAAGGCGCACCUAGGCGCAAAGGGCUGUUGGAGCCUAGGCGCAAGGCGCAGGUGUGCGCCCGAGAGAGGUCAAGCGCGCACUUUCAUAGAAUUUUGAAAUAAGUAAAUAACCAAGAAGUGUCUUACUAUACUUUCUAAUAAUUGUUAAGUAGUACUAAAUAUACUUUAUAAAAUUAUAUUAUCACAAUAAAUAUUCUAUAAUUACCCAAAU
rnacentral:lncRNA from 1 species